rnacentral:tRNA from 1 species
GCCUGGGUGGCUCAGCGGUUGAGCAUCUGCCUUUGGCCUAGGGCCUGAUCCUGGGGUCCUGGGAUCGAGUCCCAGGUCAGGCU